rnacentral:rRNA from 1 species
CCUACGGGGGGCAGCAGUGGGGAAUAUUGCACAAUGGGCGCAAGCCUGAUGCAGCCAUGCCGCGUGUGUGAAGAAGGCCUUCGGGUUGUAAAGCACUUUCAGCGGGGAGGAAGGCGUUAAGGUUAUUAACCUUGUCGAUUGACGUUACCCGCAGAAGAAGCACCGGCUAACUCCGUGCCAGCAGCCGCGGUAAUACGGAGGGUGCAAGCGUUAAUCGGAAUUACUGGGCGUAAAGCGCACGCAGGCGGUCUGUCAAGUCGGAUGUGAAAUCCCCGGGCUCAACCUGGGAACUGCAUUCGAAACUGGCAGGCUAGAGUCUUGUAGAGGGGGGUAGAAUUCCAGGUGUAGCGGUGAAACGCGUAGAGAUCUGGAGGAAUACCGGUGGCGAAGGCGGCCCCCUGGACAAAGACUGACGCUCAGGUGCGAAAGCGUGGGGAGCAAACAGGAUUAGAUACCCGAGUAGUC